AUGCCGUAAUGGGGACACUUCCUCAACAAUUCUUUAAGCCUCUCCCAUGUGUCAUAUAAUGAUUCCCCAUCAUUCUGGAAGAAGUUAUUGAUUUGUCCUCUCAACCU